CCCGAAUAUAAGCCCAGUAGCCCACUACGUUAUUCAACAUUGACAUUGUCUUUUAAUAUAGCAGAGAACGAUAUUUAAAAACAUUGUCAUUAUAGCAGACUAUGUGAAUCAAAGCGCGUUAUUAAUACAUGUUUAUUUUCCUGUUUAUGACUGACUUGUUUAUGUCUGACUUGUUUAUUACUAACACAAAAUAUCGUCCAUGUAUUAGCCCCCCCCCCGUAUAUAAGCCCCCCUUGUAUAAGCCCAUCAAAAAUCGCUUACAAAAGUAUAUAAGCCCAGAGCUUAUAGUUGGAGGUUUACGGUAUAUCGAAUGUCAUGUUGAAUGUCAUGUUGAAUCUUAU